rnacentral:rRNA from 1 species
AACGAACGCUGGCGGCAUGCCUAACACAUGCAAGUCGAACGAGACCUUCGGGUCUAGUGGCGCACGGGUGCGUAACGCGUGGGAAUCUGCCCUUGGGUUCGGAAUAACAGUUAGAAAUGACUGCUAAUACCGGAUAAUGUCUUCGGACCAAAGAUUUAUCGCCCAGGGAUGAGCCCGCGUAGGAUUAGCUAGUUGGUGAGGUAAAGGCUCACCAAGGCGACGAUCCUUAGCUGGUCUGAGAGGAUGGUCAGCCACACUGGGACUGAGACACGGCCCAGACUCCUACGGGAGGCAGCAGUGGGGAAUAUUGGACAAUGGGCGAAAGCCUGAUCCAGCAAUGCCGCGUGAGUGAUGAAGGCCUUAGGGUUGUAAAGCUCUUUUACCCGGGGAUGAUAAUGACGGUACCGGGAGAAUAAGCUCCGGCUAACUCCGUGCCAGCAGCCGCGGUAAU